rnacentral:rRNA from 1 species
AUUGAACGCUGGCGGCAUGCUUUACACAUGCAAGUCGGACGGGGUGGGGGGCAACCUUCAUUCAGUGGCGAACGGGUGAGUAAUGCAUCGGAACGUAUCCCGUAGUGGGGGACAACGCCGCGAAAGCGGCGCUAAUACCGCAUAUGCUCUACGGAGGAAAGUGGGGGACCGCAAGGCCUCACGCUAUGGGAGCGGCCGGUGUCCGAUUAGCUAGUUGGUGGGGUAAUGGCCCACCAAGGCGACGAUCGGUAGCUGGUCUGAGAGGAUGAUCAGCGACACUGGGACUGAGACACGGCCCAGACUCCUACGGGAGGCAGCAGUGGGGAAUUUUGGACAAUGGGGGCAACCCUGAGCCAGCCAUGCCGCGUGCGGGAAGAAGGCCUUCGGGUUGUAAACCGCUUUUAGUCGGGAAGAAAAGGCAUCUCCUAAUACGGGGUGUUCUUGACGGUACCGGCGGAAUAAGCACCGGCUAACUACGUGCCAGCCGCCGCGGUAAGAC